rnacentral:tRNA from 1 species
UAUGAUAUAGAUAAUAAUUUAUAUGUAAUUAGU